GGGCUUGUGGUCUAGUGGUAUGAUUUUCCCUUAGCAACUCCUCUCCACGAGGAUUAGCAUGGGAGAGGUCCGGGGUUCAAUUCCCCGCGAGUCCA